rnacentral:rRNA from 1 species
UACGUAGGGACCAAGCGUUGUUCGGAUUUACUGGGCGUAAAGAGCGUGUAGGCGGCCAGGUAGGUCUGCUGUGAAAACUCGAGGCUCAACCUCGAGACGUCGGCGGAAACCAUCUGGCUAGAGUCCGGAAGAGGAGAGUGGAAUUCCUGGUGUAGCGGUGAAAUGCGCAGAUAUCAGGAAGAACACCCGUGGCGAAGGCGGCUCUCUGGGACGGUACUGACGCUGAGACGCGAAAGCGUGGGGAGCAAACAGG